rnacentral:rRNA from 1 species
UACGGAGGAUGCGAGCGUUAUCCGGAUUUAUUGGGUUUAAAGGGUGCGUAGGCGGUCCGGAAAGUCAGCGGUAAAAGCCCGGGGCUCAACCCCGGCGAGCCGUUGAAACUGUCGGACUAGAGACGGCGAGAAGUACGCGGAAUGCGCGGUGUAGCGGUGAAAUGCAUAGAUAUCGCGCAGAACUCCGAUUGCGAAGGCAGCGUACCGGCACCGGACUGACGCUGAGGCACGAAAGCGUGGGUAUCGAACAGG